rnacentral:lncRNA from 1 species
GAGGAAGAGAGGAGCAAAUAUAUAUAUGGCACUCCAGGAAGAUGAAGUGUAUGCAGCUGUAGUCUGGGAGGUCUGAUGUUAGGGAAAAAGGAGGAAAGCAAGAUUAAAAAUCAUUCCUGGAAAUGCAAGAGCAAAUGUGCUGGAGUGGUGCUGUGAGUAUCAGGGACACUGGACAAGAAAGAUAAGCAAGCCACUGCCGUCUGAUUCCUACAUAGCAGAUGAAGAGCUAUAAGAAUGGAAUUGAGACUAGGAGAGGAACAUCCAAAGGAGAGAAAAUGACUGCAGUGGGAGAGAACAAGAGCUAUGAUCAAAAAGAGGAGAGACAAGCAGCACUGAGGAAGACAGAAGGGUAA